AAAAGAAAAGAAAGAAAAAGAAAGAGGAAAUACCAAGAAUUAAAAGAACUCCCUCCUUUCUCUUUGUCUUUCCUCUUCCGUUUCUCUUCCAUUUUACCUUCUGUUGGUCUCUCCAAAGUAAUUCUUUUUCCUUUUAAACAGAGAUGA
rnacentral:ribozyme from 13 species